UCUACGGGUGGCAGCAGUGAGGAAUAUUGGUCAAUGGGCGCGAGCCUGAACCAGCCAAGUAGCGUGAAGGAUGACUGCCCUACGGGUUGUAAACUUCUUUUCUAAAGGAAUAAGGUGAGGCACGUGUGCCUUUUUGUAUGUACUUUAUGAAUAAGGAUAGGCUAACACCGUGCCAGCACCCGCGGUAAUACUGAGGCGCCGAGCGUUAUCCGGAUUUCUUGGGUUUAAAGGGAGCGUAGAUGGGUUGUUAAGUCAGUUGUUAAAGUUUGCGGCGUAACCGUAAAAUUGCAAUUGAUACUGUCAGCCUUGAGUACAGUUGAGGUAGGCGGAAUU
rnacentral:rRNA from 1 species